UAAAAUUAAGCAAAUUGUAACGAUGCUAAAUACUUCCAGACACUUGCUUGGAAUUAGAGCUUGUUUAAUUGGGUUUCUUUUCUAGAUGGUAACAUAUUUUCUGAUGAGGCGGGAAAAUUCUCUCUUGCAAACAGGGAUUAACAAGUCGGGAAACCGGAACCUGGACGCUUCAGGAAUAGAGGCAGGCGAUUGUAAUCUUGAUACCGGAAGCUCGAAAAGGAACCCAUUUUAUCGCAAAUCUUUCAGAACAAUUACCCUGAUAUCUUUCGUACCAAAAAUAAUGGAGAAGGUACUGGACAAC